rnacentral:rRNA from 1 species
ACUCAAAGGAAUAGACGGGGGCCCGCACAAGCGGUGGAGCAUGUGGUUUAAUUCGACGCAACGCGCAGAACCUUACCAACCCUUGACAUGCCCGUCGCGGAGACCAGAGAUGGACUCCUUCAGCUCGGCUGGACGGUGCACAGGUGCUGCAUGGCUGUCGUCAGCUCGUGUCGUGAGAUGUUGGGUUAAGUCCCGCAACGAGCGCAACCCUCGCCUUCAGUUGCCAUCAUUCAGUUGGGCACUCUGGAGGGACUGCCGGUGACAAGCCGGAGGAAGGUGGGGAUGACGUCAAGUCCUAAUGGCCCUUACGGGUUGGGCUACACACGUGCUACAAUGGCGGUGACAGUGGGAUGCGAAAGCGCGAGCUGGAGCAAAUCCCAAAAAUCCGUCUCAGUUCGGAUUGCACUCUGCAACUCGAGUGCAUGAAGUCGGAAUCGCUAGUAAUCGCGCAACAGCAUGGCGCGGUGAAUACGUUCCCGGGCCUUGCACACACCGCCCGU